AUUGAACGCUGGCGGCAGGCCUAACACAUGCAAGUCGAACGGUAACAGGAAGACGCUUGCUUCUUUGCUGACGAGUGGCGGACGGGUGAGUAAUGUCUGGGAAACUGCCUGAUGGAGGGGGAUAACUACUGGAAACGGUAGCUAAUACCGCAUAACGUCGCAAGACCAAAAAGGGGGACCUUCGGGCCUCUUGCCAUCGGAUGUGCCCAGGUGGGAUUAGCUAGUAGGUGGGGUAACGGCUCACCUAGGCGACGAUCCCUAGCUGGUCUGAGAGGAUGACCAGCCACACUGGAACUGAGACACGGUCCAGACUCCUACGGUAGGCAGCAGUGUGGAAUAUUGCACAAUGGGCGCAAGCCUGAUGCAGCCAUGCCGCGUGUAUGAAGAAGGCCUUCGGGUUGUAAAGUACUUUCAGCGGGGAGGAAGGGAGUAAAGUUAAUACCUUUGCUCAUUGACGUUACCCGCAGAAGAAGCACCGGCUAACUCCGUG
rnacentral:rRNA from 1 species